UUGAGGACUGAAUGAGGAACAUGAAUACUUUUCAAUCUAUAGCCAAGUGUAAACAAAAAGCAAUAUGUCGAAAGUCACACACAGCAACACAGUCAAGCCUCAUAACAACUCAUCCUAGUCUCACAACAACACAGUCAAAUGACCAAACAACCAAACUAUGGAACAAGUCAUAUAGUUGAACUAAAAUAGGUUUGAACCAAAAAACAAAACAGUUUUAGCCAAGUCUAAACAUGGAGUAUCAGUAUAUUCCCUUUUAUUAGUGUAGUCACUGCCAAACUGGUUCUUGCUUCUCAUUUAUUUGAAACACCUAGCAGCACUCCCCAUAGCUUCCUGUCAUUGUAAAAAGUAGAUGUAUUAGAACCUUUGAUUUAUAAAAAUUAGAUUUGUCUAGGUCCUAACUCCUCAAUUACUAACAUGGCAUUUUUUGUCAUGGCGUUCAAACUCAUUCUAGAUUAUUGAAAUUGUCCAUCUACCUCAUAUUUGAAGCAGUUGAACUUCAUAUUUGCCCCGACUGUUAAUUUUUUUAAGGUAGGCCUAGUGUACCUUGGAGUUCUUGUUGAUAUAUUUUUUUUUCAUAAUUCUGCAAUGAGGUUAAUGAAGUUAUAUUUAUAUAAAAGAAAUACGAUAUUUUUUCUCUCCAACUAUAUAUAACAAAUUAAAGGAAUACAAGCCAAUAGCUUGUUGCACUAUUCUAUACAAACUAAUAUCAAAGAUACUGAUCUCAAGAAUGCAGAAUAUAGUUUCACGUAUUAUCUGUGAUGCUCAAGCAGGACAAUAUAAUACUAGAGCAUGAACUAGUUAAAGUUAACACCGAAAAGCAUAUAUUCCCUAGGCAUAUGGUAAAAAUUGUCUUACAAAAAGCCUAUGAUUCUGUAGAACAGUUCUUCUUGGAUCAGAUUUUGACGGAGUUAGGUUUUCCUAGUAAAUCCAUUGGCUGGAUACUUGAAUAUGUCUGAACAGACAAUUAUACUAUCAUAAUCAAUGGUGAACCUUUUCCUCCCUUUGAUGCAGCAAGGGUCUUAGACAAGGAAACCCCAUGUCACCAUUCUUG
rnacentral:lncRNA from 1 species